GCUUUCUUCUACAAGCCUGGAGGUGACGGGGAAGGAUCCUCAUGACUGUGUGGUGAACCAGGGAAGCCUGUCUGGUGGAGGAGAAAAAUCUGGAGCAAAGACCAGGACAUCACCACCCCAGAGUCCCUGCAACAGUCUGGAGAGAAGACGGGGCUUCCGGCAGAUCAGUUGCAGAGGCUUGUGGGAUUGUCUGGCUCACAGGAAGUGAAAUAGAAGCUGAAACAGGUGACCCAGGAAGCACUGAAUCACAAGCUCCCUCAUGCAAGAGAUUGCAAGUGAAGAGAAGGAGACCCUUUUUAACAGCUGCACCCUGACACUUACUGGUGAGCACUUAUGAAUACUGUGUCAAAUCAAUUGCUUUAUCAGUCACUAGUUAGAUCAUUUGACAUCAU